UUUGCUAUUAUUUAAUUGAAUUUAGAUUAAUUUAAAACACGAAAAUCAAUAUCAAAAUUUUAAAAAAAAAUUGCAGAGUUCAAAUCAAAAAGUAAUCCCACCAAUUUAUCUUAAUUGAUUUGUUAAGAGGUCACAGACAGAGUUACUUUGUUGGAAAAAAGUAACAUAUUUACUGUUGAUGUUUAAGUCAUGUUAGUAUUUUGAAUCUCCUUGUAAUGAAUGUAAAAUUCUGUAUGUAUACAGAGACCUACUUGGGUUUCUAGUGGUUACUACUAGGCUUUAGCUUGUGUGUAGGUUGUCAUGGUUAUAGUGAUCAUUGUUGUUGCUAUGGUGAUUUAUUUCUGUCCAUACAAAACUAGUUCCAUUUGCAUUUAGUUGUCAUGGUUACUGGGACCAAUUUUUGUUGUACAAUGAACUCCCAUUCAGAUUAGCUGCAAUGGUUUAAUAUUAGAAGGACGUGUUCUUCUUUCCUAUGACUUUUUUUCACUGUUGUUACAGUACAUAACUUCUCUAUUUAUAUUUAGUUGCCAUGGUUACGGGGAGUCAUGUUAUCGUUGCUAUGGUAACCCAAUCAUCGUUUUAUGGUUAUGGGAAGUCUAUAUAGAUUGAAGUACCUAGUUUGUUAUCUAGACUGUUUAAACAUAGAUUAUAUACCGAUUGUUCUUGAUGGUACCGACAAUUUGCAUAAUGAAUAUUUUACAAUGAAAAUUUAUUGAAGAAUUUCAGUAACGAAUUUACAUAAUUAUGUGCAAUAUAAGAUUGGAGACUGAAUAUCGUCUUUCUGUUCAAGAUUACUUUAUUAUUACAUAAACAGUACAUUUGUGCCAUAAUAAUCCUCAGCAAGUAUCAUGUAAAAUAGUUAAUUAUUAUUUUUAUACCGACAUGUACAUGUAUUUACUUUUCUCUUGUAAAUGCUCUAGAUGAAACAUCAAUUCAGAACUUUAGGAUUGUGUAGAAGCACAGACUAAGACAUGUGAAUGUUUUCCGAUCAGAACUUGUUUAGUUUUUUCCGUCAAUUUUUCACGGUCCAGUCUUGUGUUCACCAAAUCAGAACUGUUACAGGAAUCCAGAAUUGAUUUCAAUUGAUGUUCAUGUGCUUGACAGAAAUGGUAACUGUAAGAAAUAUUUGCUUGUUUUAAAUGCAGGAGGAACCAAACAAAAGCCAUCUGAAAUGAAAGCUGCAUUUUCGUUGAUGUUGAGAAUGUAAAUAAAGGAUGAGAAUACAGAUUCUUUGAAAUGAUUUACAACCUUCUUGCUUACAAAUAUUUUCUUUAAUUAAAGGCUCUUGAGCAUUGUAAGCCAAUAUUUCAUUUUGGUCACCUCUGACAGUUGCCACAUUUGUGCAAUAAUAUGUGAUGUGUUUUCUUGUCUUUGGUGCUGUAUAGGAUCUGGAUGGCAAAUCAAUGCCAAUAAGUCCUUUGUUGUGAAAAAGUCUAAACUAAUGCCAUGUUGAUCACCUAAACCAAGGUCAGUUUUAUGAGAUAAAGUUUUUGAUCACAAUCAGACAUAUCCUGUCUGACAGGGUCUCUCAUACUGCAACUCUUUAUUAGGCAGGUAUGAGGACUAAUUAAAAAUGUCAAGGUCACAGCUUGUUCAGACCGAAUAGAACUCUAACUAAUGAGGUCAAGGUGAUAGAUUAUCUAGACUGGAGAGUAAGGGAUGAGGACUAACAAAUGAUGUCAAGGUCAUAGAUUGUCUAGACUUGAUAGUCUUUUUAUGUCAUAGCUUGUUUGGACUGGAUAGUUAGGGAUGAUAUCUAACUAAUGAUGCCAAGGUCAUAUAUUAUCUAGACUGGAGAGUUAGGGAUGAGGACUAACAAAUGAUGUCAAGGUCAUAGAUUGUCUAGACUGGAUAGUUAGGGAUGAGGACUAACAAAUGAUGUCAAGGUCAUAGCUUGUUUAGACUGGAUAGUUAGGGAUGAGAUCUAACUAAUGAUGUCAAGGUCAUAGCUUGUUUAGACUGGAUAGUUAGGGAUGAUUUCUAACAAAUGAGGUCAAGGUCAUAGCUUGUUUAGAUUGGAUAGUUAGGGAUGAGGACUAACAAAUGAUGUCAAGGUCAUAGCUUGUUUAGACUGGUUAGUUAGGGAUGAGGACUAACAAAUGAUGUCAAGGUCAUAGCUUGUUUAGACUGGUUAGUUAGGGAUGAGGACUAACAAAUGAUGUCAAGGUCAUAGCUUGUUUAGACUGGAUAGGUAGGGAUGAGAUCUAACAAAUGAUGUCAAGGUCAUAGCUUGUUUAGACUGGAUAGUUAGGGAUGAGAUCUAACAAAUGAUGUCAAGGUCAUAAACUUUCCAAAGAUUCACUAGGGUUUUUUUCUUCUGUUUCUGUACCCUGUAUCUGAUCAAAAUGAAAUUCGAUCAAUGAAAUGGAUUUUUUUUUUAUUUUUUUUACUACAACCAGUGUUUCUUCAUUUAUCAUUUCAGUACCCUUGUAUAUUCAACUUUGUUAACUUUUUCUAUGCUUUUUCUUUAGCUUGUGACAAAAUAUUAUUUGAAAAGAAUUUUUAUUAUUUCAAAAUUUGAUUGCUAUAUAUAUAUAUGCGACUUGAUCUUCCAGUCUUUUAAGUGAACACAAGCUGUCUCCAUAUUGUCCUUUAAUGAGUAUUUUUAAUUAUCAAAAUAUCUUGCACUGGUAUCAUAGUACAGUAUCAGUAAUCUACACUUGUCUCUUGUAUGUUAUUACUCCUAGAGAUAUAUUGGACCUUUCCUCAAGUCUUUGUUAAACUUUUAAAAGAUUAUAAUUGUUGAUAUAUGUUAUAUACACAGUUGAUAUAGAUUAUACACUAUAUAAGAUCAUAGACAUUUUCUAAAGUAUAUACUCACUUGUAGUAGUAUUGUGUUGGAAUAAAUAUAAUGUAGAA
rnacentral:lncRNA from 1 species